rnacentral:rRNA from 1 species
GCGAAUACCGGAGAAUGUUAUCACGGGAGACACACGGCGGGUGCUAACGUCCGUCGUGAAGAGGGAAACAACCCAGACCGCCAGCUAAGGUCCCAAAGUCAUGGUUAAGUGGGAAACGAUGUGGGAAGGCCCAGACAGCCAGGAUGUUGGCUUAGAAGCAGCCAUCAUUUAAAGAAAGCGUAAUAGCUCACUGGUCGAGUCGGCCUGCGCGGAAGAUGUAACGGGGCUAAACCAUGCACCGAAGCUGCGGCAGCGACACUUUAGUGUUGUUGGGUAGGGGAGCGUUCUGUAAGCCGUUGAAGGUGGCCUGUGAGGGUUGCUGGAGGUAUCAGAAGUGCGAAUGCUGACAUAAGUAACGAUAAAGCGGGUGAAAAGCCCGCUCGCCGGAAGACCAAGGGUUCCUGUCCAACGUUAAUCGGGGCAGGGUGAGUCGACCCCUAAGGCGAGGCCGAAAGGCGUAGUCGAUGGGAAACGGGUUAAUAUUCCCGUACUUGGUGUUACUGCGAAGGGGGGACGGAGAAGGCUAUGUUGGCCGGGCGACGGUUGUCCCGGUUUAAGCGUGUAGGUGUGUGUUCCAGGUAAAUCCGGUUCACUUUAACACUGAGGCGUGAUGACGAGGCACCACGGUGCUGAAGCAACAAAUGCCCUGCUUCCAGGAAAAGCCUCUAAGCAUCAGGUAACAUCAAAUCGUACCCCAAACCGACACAGGUGGUCAGGUAGAGAAUACCAAGGCGCUUGAGAGAACUCGGGUGAAGGAACUAGGCAAAAUGGUGCCGUAA